UGUCCCUUUGGAUUUUCCCCCAGAGUGCGCUCAUUCAGGGUGUUUGGGAACAAAACCAAACAUGUAUCAGUCGAGGAAAUUGUGGAGUCAGUUGAAUUCCUGAAAAAAAAUGUAAUCAACUUUGACGAUAAUGUCACACAUAAAGACGGCUUUUGGGGACAGGUGUGCAGUGCACUUACCAUUCCAAACACUAAAAACAAUCGCUAUAGACUGCUAAGAGCAUUUCGUAAGCACCAGCCAGAAUCGUUCCCAUCUCCAGUCCCAUCCGAAGACAGUGGAAGUGCUGCAGGAGAUGAAAGACGCAAGUCU